GCAGUCGUAGCCGAGUGGUUAAGGCGUUGGACAAGAAAUCCAUUGGGGUCUCCCCGCACAGGUUCUAAUCCUGUCGACUGCG
rnacentral:tRNA from 1 species